UCUUUUAGUUUAUAAUUUAAAGUCUGAUCUGCUCACUGAAAUAAUUUAAAGAGCCGCGAUAUAUUGAUCGUGCUAAGGUAGCAUAAUAAAUAGUUUCUUAAUUGGAAGCUUGAAUGAAUGAUUAAACGAAAAAUUAUCUUUUUUUUUCUUAUAACUUAGAAUUUAAUUUUUAGGUGAAAAAGCUUAAAUAAAUAUAAAAGACGAGAAGACCCUAUAGAUUUUUAUUAAAAUUAUGUAUAGUUAAGAUUUAAGUUUAUGUUAACUAAAAUAAAAUUAAUUUGGUUGGGGUGAUUAAAAAAUAAGAUUAGCUUUUUUUUAUAAACCUUUAAUUUGAGAUUAGUUGAUCUUUAAAUUAAGAUUGAAAGAUUAAAUUACCUUAGGGAUAACAGCGUAAUUUUAUUUUAGAGUUCUUAUCAACAAUAAAGUUUGCGACCUCGAUGUUGAAUUAAGAUAAAAAGUGGGAGUAGAAAUUCACUAGUUUAGUCUGUUCGACUAUGAAAUGCU
rnacentral:rRNA from 1 species